CGCGAUGUGAGCUGUUCCCAAGCGGGCUCCCGAGGGGUAGCUACAUCCCCAUUCUCUCCUGGGGCCUCCAGCCCGGGACGAUCACGCCAGACCGGCGCCCGGCUACCAGCGCACCGCUCAACCGCACCGGGACGCACUCCGCGAGUCUGAGUGUCGCUGGCUGAGGAGACGCGCCGCCGGGCCCUGCGCGGCUCCAGCCCCGGACACCCCGGGGCUACUGCGCCGCGCCUCUCGGCGUAGGAGCCUGCCCCGGCCGCGGCCUCCGCGGACUCUGCCCAGGACUGUGCGGCGGCAGUGCGGAUGGAUCAGCAGGAGGGGGCUGCGCUGCGCCGAGAGGCCCGUUGGACUGGGGGCACAGACGGGCACAAGGCGCACUCCUGCUGCCCACCUUUACUGUCCCAGGAACCCCGACCACCUGCGGGAGGGCUCACCUGAGCAAUAGUGAGCAUCAGUUGACUUUUGGGCGCUGGUAGACGAAGGUCCGCAGGGAACCGGCCCAGCUGUCCCGGAGUCGACGUUGUCGCCCAGACCACAGCGGAGUCACUGCCAGAAAGGCUACUACUGUGUUGAAUUCAUGUAACGGGCAGCUGCUAUUCCGUGCCACCAGAUGGCGUCUAUCAAUAGUAACCUCCAAAACUAUGACACCUACUCUGCCAGAAAUGCUGGAAAGUGACUAAGCAGAGGGCCUGUGGCAGACACCAUUUUCAUCUUCUUAUUAAAAAAAAAAAAA